ensembl:miRNA
AUGGGCAAAAAGUUUGCUUGGAUUUUUCUGUGAGAUAUUAUGGGAAAACCGGAAUGAACUUUUUGACUGA